UUUGGAUUCGACAGGGGUCCCUCGAGCUCAUUAAGCGUGUCGGAGGGCUGUCUCCGACAUCAACACAUUUCAGUAAAUAUAACUGACAAAUCAAACAAUAAUUUCGCAGUAGCUGCGUAAUAGCACUCUGCAUCGCCUAACAGCAUCUCCUACGUGCUGUUAACGCGAUUCAACCCUAGUAGGAUAUGCUAAACACUGCCGUUUGAAGUCUGUUUAGAUGAUACUGGUUGUCUGUUGCUUACUAUUAUGCGAAAUUCAUCAAUAGACUACACACGUAGAAAGAUGUGUAUCAGGGAGUAGAGAUUUCAA
rnacentral:tmRNA from 1 species